CAGGGCGCGCCAAGCAGAGCGGCUGCUAUUGGCCGCGGCCCAAAGGGGCCGGCUCGCUGCCAUUGCUCCGAGGCGCUGUCCGUCUGCGAGGGUACUGGUGGGACGUGAGGCUUCCAUUUGUCACGUCCGGCACGCUGCGAGCUGCGGGGAACCUUCCUGACUAGGGGCGGAGCGAGAGGCGGCAUCUAGCGACCUGCAGAAUGAAUGAUCCAAGACAUAGAACAAGAAAGAAGCUACAAGCCACAAGCCGGAUGCAAUGACACACACAUCUGUAAUCCUAGCAGCUCAGGAGGCUGAGGCAGGAGGAUCGCGAGUUCAAAGCCAACAGCAGCAAAAGCAAGGUGCUAAGCAACUCAUUGAGAUUCUGUCUCUAAAUAAAAUACAAAAUAGGCUCAGUGGUCAAGUGCCUCUGAGUUCAAUCCCUGGGGGGGAAAAGGGGGGAAAAAAGCUACAAUAUCUUUUAUGACCUAUUUUAAGAUGUCACACAAAAUCAUUUCAGUCAUAUUUUAUUCAUCAGAUAUACUUAUCCUUAAGUCUAGUCCACACUUGGGAGGGGUAUGUGGUUUCACCUCUUGAAGGAAAAUGUAUGAAAAAUUUUGUGGACUUUUUAAAAGUUUUUAAUUUUUUCUUAUGUAAAACCACAUACACUUUUCCUGGCUCUUCUUUUGCUGAAGACUAGGCCAGAUGGUGUCUGACAUCACAUAUUCCUUAUCAUGAAGAGAUGCAUGUAACUGAGGAAUAAUGAAAAGAGUAGAUUUCUUCCACUCUGAAGAUUGCCUAUACUUCUACCCAUGUCUUGUCUAUGCUAAUAUUUUUAUGGAAUUAUAAAAAUUUGCAAUAAGUAGAAAUCCUGAAAGUCUCACAUACAAACAACUACCUUCUAUACUAUAAAAAUGCCUUUGAAGGCUUCUAGCUUCUAUUUCAGUGUUCAAUGAUGAAUGGCUACAUUAAAGGGAACUUAGUUACAUUGUUAGAUAAAUAUAAUUAUUAGGAAAUCUUUAUAUUAAAGAGUUGUAAUUAGCAAAAUCCCAGAUGUUGGAAACUCUGUAGAAUGAGCUAGUUCUUUCAAUAAAUGCCAAGAAAAGGAAGAGAUGGGUGAACCUAUAGAUUUAAAGAAACAAGAGACAUUUCAAACAAGUACAAUGAGUGGUCCUUGUUAGAAUUCAUACAAACCAACUGUAAACACAUAUGUACAUAUGCAUACACAUUUAUGGAACAACCUGAAAAUUUUGAACAAGAACUUACUAGAUAUUUGUUGGUCAUAUGGUAUUUGAUAAAAAUUUCUAGAUAUGAUAAAAGAUCUUUUGAAGAGGUCUUACCCUAUCUACUAAAAUGAUUUUUUGAUUUGUUUGUCUUUGGUGCCAGGGUUUGAACUUGGGGUCUUGUACAUGCUCACAUUUACUUUAGUACUAUACUGAAAUGUUUUUAACUUUCUUUUGAAAAUGUUUUCAAAUUUACAGAAAAAAUUGAAAAAUAAUACAAAGAACUCCCAUAUAUCUUUGGUUCAAAUGUAUUAGUUGUUAAUAUUUUGAUGCAUUUAUUUUAUUAUAUAUCCUGACACUAGAUAGAUAGAUAAAGCUGGGAAUAUGGCUCAGCCAUUAAGUGCCUGCCUAGUGUACAUGAUGCCCUGAGUUCAUUCUCUAGUACUGCCAAAAAAAAAAAGCCAUUCUAAGUAGAUGAUUGAUAGAUAGAUAUUCCAAUGCCAUUACUCCUUUACCUAUGAUA